AUUGUUUUAGUUAUUUUCCAUUUUUCAUUGUUUUAGUUAUUUUCCGUUUUGGUUUUUCAAUUUUUUUUUAAAGUUAACUUUGAUUUCUUUUAUUUUCAACUGUUUGGGUGUUGGGUUACAGAUUGAUGGAUAAAAACCAGAGGCGUGAUGGAAGGAUGUUUAGUGGAUGAAAGACACAACCCGAACAUACUCUCCCGAGGCACCUUGGAAAUUUAUGCAGCCGAAGAAAAAC
rnacentral:lncRNA from 1 species